GACGAACGCUGGCGGCGUGCUUAACACAUGCAAGUCGAACGGAAAGGCCCUGCUUUUGUGGGGUGCUCGAGUGGCGAACGGGUGAGUAACACGUGAGUAUCCUGCCCUUGACUUUGGGAUAACUUCAGGAAACUGGGGCUAAUACCGGAUAGGAGCUCCUGCUGCAUGGUGGGGGUUGGAAAGUUUCGGCGGUUGGGGAUGGACUCGCGGCUUAUCAGCUUGUUGGUGGGGUAGUGGCUUACCAAGGCUUUGACGGGUAGCCGGCCUGAGAGGGUGACCGGCCACAUUGGGACUGAGAGACGGCCCAGACUCCUACGGGAGGCAGCAGUGGGGAAUAUUGCACAAUGGGCGGAAGCCUGAUGCAGCAACGCGGCGUGCGGGAUGACGGCCUUCGGGUUGUAAACCGCUUUCGCCUGUGACGAAGCGUGAGUGACGGUAAUGGGUAAAGAAGCACCGGCUAACUACGUG
rnacentral:rRNA from 1 species